rnacentral:rRNA from 1 species
GAUGAACGCUAGCGGGAGGCCUAACACAUGCAAGCCGAGCGGUAGAGUCUCUUCGGAGACUUGAGAGCGGCGCACGGGUGCGGAACACGUGUGCAACCUGCCUUUAUCUGGGGGAUAGCCUUUCGAAAGGAAGAUUAAUACCCCAUAAUAUACUGGAUGGCAUCAUCUGGUAUUGAAAACUCCGGUGGAUAGAGAUGGGUACGCGCAAGAUUAGAUAGUUGGUGAGGUAACGGCUCACCAAGUCAGCGAUCUUUAGGGGGCCUGAGAGGGUGAUCCCCCACACUGGUACUGAGACACGGACCAGACUCCUACGGGAGGCAGCAGUGAGGAAUAUUGGACAAUGGGUGAGAGCCUGAUCCAGCCAUCCCGCGUGAAGGACGACGGCCCUAUGGGUUGUAAACUUCUUUUGUAUAGGGAUAAACCUAGAUACGUGUAUCUAGCUGAAGGUACUAUACGAAUAAGCACCGGCUAACUCCGUG